GGGAAUUGGUCUAGAGGUGAGGAUUCCUCGUUUGGGACGAGGAGGUCCCGGGUUCGAACCCCGGAUUC
rnacentral:tRNA from 1 species